AUUGAACGCUGGCGGCAGGCCUAACACAUGCAAGUCGAGCGAACGAAGGGAGCUUUUUCCUGGAUUAAGCGGCGGACGGGUGAGUGAUGCCUAGGAAUCUGCCCGGUCGUGGGGGAUAACGUCCGUAAACGGGCGCUAAUACCGCAUACGUUCUGAGGGUGAAAGUGGUGGAUCUUCGGACCACACGCUUUCUGAUGAGCCUAGGUCGGAUUAGCUAGUUGGUGGGGUAAAGGCUUACCAAGGCGACGAUCCGUAACCGAUCUGAGAGGGUGAUCAGUCACACUGGAACUGAGACACGGUCCAGACUCCUACGGGAGGCAGCAGUAGGGAAUAUUGGGCAAUGGGCGAAAGCCUGACGCAGCCAUGCCGCGUGAGUGAAGAAGGUCUUCGGAUCGUAAAACCCUGUUAUUUGGGAAGAACAAAUGUGAAAUUAACUCUUGACGUUUUGACGGUACCUAAUCAAAAAGCCACGGCUAACUUCGUG
rnacentral:rRNA from 1 species